rnacentral:rRNA from 1 species
GAUGAACGCUGGCGGCGUGCCUAAUACAUGCAAGUCGAGCGAACAGGCGAGGAGCUUGCUCCUCUGACGUUAGCGGCGGACGGGUGAGUAACACGUGGAUAACCUACCUAUAAGACUGGGAUAACUUCGGGAAACCGGAGCUAAUACCGGAUAAUAUAUUGAACCGCAUGGUUCAAUAGUGAAAGACGGUUUUGCUGUCACUUACAGAUGGAUCCGCGCCGCAUUAGCUAGUUGGUAAGGUAACGGCUUACCAAGGCGACGAUGCGUAGCCGACCUGAGAGGGUGAUCGGCCACACUGGAACUGAGACACGGUCCAGACUCCUACGGGAGGCAGCAGUAGGGAAUCUUCCGCAAUGGGCGAAAGCCUGACGGAGCAACGCCGCGUUAGUGAUGAAGGUCUUCGGAUCGUAAAACUCUGUUAUUAGGGAAGAACAAAUGUGUAAGUAACUAUGCACGUCUUGACGGUACCUAAUCAGAAAGCCACGGCUAACUACGUG